AAUCUGAGCAGUUAGGUAAAAUGAGGAAAGGAAAAAGAUAGGGAAUAAGACUAAAUUUUCCUUAUCCAUUUAAAAACACACAGUGAGAGCAAUCACUUGUCCAGUGCCAAGACUACAAUCAAGAUUAAAACUGGAACUGAUGGAGUUAGUAUGUGGGAGGGAGAGUGGAAAGUGACCUGUUUUGUUUGUGGAAGCUCUGGAAUCCCACAGGAGAAGGAUCGCUCAGCACCAUGGCCAUUUGCCAAGUACAACUUGUUCUGAAACACAGUGGUUCUGAGAAGUUGCAUUAUCAACUGAAGCACAAUGUCAGCGUAGCAGGAGGAAUUUAAGUUAUUUCUCUGAAGAAGAGAGCAGGUUGUGUACAUAUAUGAAGUAGUUUGCAAAUAUGAGAAAAAAAAUUUACAUUCUGCUCAAGUUCCUGUAGUGUCACUGAUGUUCUAGGCACUAAAAGUGAGGGGUGACCCUCUGUCUGUAUGUCUGCACUUUCUGUCUGACUGGGGACAGAGGAGAAGUAAGAUGGCAGAUGAUUCCUCCCCUCCCAUGAACGGAUGGGAUCUUAUUGUGUUGCCAAGUAGGUUCCUCCAAAGUGGUUCAUGCCUUCUGCAAUAUGAUUUUCACUGGGACUUUGACUCCUGGCAGUCAAGUAUUCCCACUAACAUACCCCGAAACUUGUUCUCAGGCAGUUUCAUCUUUGAUAUAAUUCCUGAUGUGAACCGAACUGGAAAAAAUAAAAUAAAAUGAAUAUGCUAAUAAUCCUGCUAUUUCCUGUUGGACUUCGUCUUACCAUUAAUUGCUACGGUUGUUUAUAAGGCCUGCUGGGUUUGUUGGUUUUAUUUGAA
rnacentral:lncRNA from 1 species